rnacentral:rRNA from 1 species
CGGGGGGGGGGGGGCAAGCGUUGUUCGGGAAUUACUGGGCGUAAAGGGGCGCGUAGGCGGUCCAGCAAGUCCUCCGUGAAAUCCCACAGCUCAACUGUGGAAUUGCGAGGGGAAACUGUUGGACUUGAGUCCGGGAGAGGAGAGUGGAAUUCCCAGUGUAGCGGUGAAAUGCGCAGAUAUUGGGAGGAACACCGGUGGCGAAGGCGGCUCUCUGGACCGGCACUGACGCUGAGGCGCGAAAGCUAGGGGAGCAAACGGGAUUAGAUACCCCGGUAGUCCUAGCCCUAAACGAUGAGCACUUGGUGUGGCGGGUAUCGACCCCUGCCGUGCCGAAGCUAACGCAUUAAGUGCUCCGCCUGGGGAGUACGGUCGCAAGGCUG